CAUAGACAUACAUACUGACAUACACACAGACAGACAUACUGGCACACACAUAGACAGACAUACUGACAUACACACAGACAUACUAGCACACACACACAGACAUACUGACACACACACAAACAUACUGAAACACAAACACAUACAUACUGACACAAAAAACACAUACAUACUGACACACACAGACAUACUUUACACUUUUAAAGCCAGUAGACAGCGGCUGAGUAAGG